rnacentral:rRNA from 1 species
UACAACUUUCAACAACGGAUCUCUUGGCUCUCGCAUCGAUGAAGAACGCAGCGAAAUGCGAUAAGUAAUGUGAAUUGCAGAGUUCAGUGAAUCAUCGAAUCUUUGAACGCACCUUGCGCCCCUUGGUAUUCCGAGGGGCAUGCCUGUUUGAGUGU